UUGUGUUACAGCUCUUUUAGGAUUUGUCUUUUAGAAUCUCCAGUCCUCACAGGAAAACCCCC
rnacentral:snRNA from 1 species